rnacentral:rRNA from 1 species
AGUGAACGCUGGCGGUAGGCCUAACACAUGCAAGUCGAACGGCCGCACAGGAGAGCUUGCUCUCUGGGUGGCGAGUGGCGGACGGGUGAGGAAUACAUCGGAAUCUACUUUUUCGUGGGGGAUAACGUAGGGAAACUUACGCUAAUACCGCAUACGACAUACGGGUGAAAGAAGGGGACCUUCGGGCCUUCCGCGAUUUACUGAGCCGAUGGCGGAUUAGCUAGUUGGCGGGGUAAAGGCCCACCAAGGCGACGAUCCGGAGCUGGUCGGAGAGGAUGAUCAGCCACACUGGAACUGAGACACGGUCCAGACUCCUACGGGAGGCAGCAGUGGGGAAUAUUGGACAAUGGGCGCAAGCCUGAUCCAGCCAUACCGCGUGGGUGAAGAAGGCCUUCGGGUUGUAAAGCCCUUUUGUUGGGAAAGAAAUCCAGCCGGUUAAUACCUGGUUGGGAUGACGGUACCCAAAGAAUAAGCACCGGCUAACUUCGUGCCAGCCGCCGCGGUAACAC